rnacentral:rRNA from 1 species
UACGAAGGGGGCUAGCGUUGUUCGGAAUUACUGGGCGUAAAGCGCACGUAGGCGGACAUUUAAGUCAGGGGUGAAAUCCCAGAGCUCAACUCUGGAACUGCCUUUGAUACUGGGUGUCUUGAGUAUGGAAGAGGUGAGUGGAAUUCCGAGUGUAGAGGUGAAAUUCGUAGAUAUUAGGAAGAACACCAGUGGCGAAGGCGGCUCACUGGUCCGGUACUGACGCUGAGGUGCGAAAGCGUGGGGAGCAAACAGG